ACCCCAUGGUGAGGGCACCUUCUCAAUAAGUCCUUAUAUCUCUCUCAUGCAUCAUAUAAGGCUUUCAAACCCAUUUGUACAAAAGAGGAGAUAUCAUUCCUCAGCUU
rfam:Gossypium arboreum cultivar AKA8401 contig_32261_1, whole genome shotgun sequence.